rnacentral:rRNA from 1 species
CUACCCUGCCCAGUGAUGUCUAAAUUUAACGGCCGCGGUAGUAUGACCGUGCUAAGGUAGCAUAAUAAUUUGUCCUUUAAUUGAGGACUGGUAUGAACGGUUGAACGAGAAAUUAACUGUCUCUGUUGCAAAAUUUGAAUUUUACGUUUAAGUGAAAAGGCUUAAAUGAAAUAGGGGGACGAUAAGACCCUAUAAAUCUUUAUAUUUUAUUUAAUAAAUUUUAAAAAUUAGUUAUACAUUUAGCGAUAUUAAGUUAAAUAUUUUGUUGGGGCGACAGGAGUAUAAUAAGUAACUGCUUUGUUUGUAAAGUUAAUUAUUUUUAUUGAGAGAGUUAAAUUGAUCCUUUCUAGAGAAAUCAGAUCAAGUUACUUUAGGGAUAACAGCGUAAUCUUUUUUGAGAGUCCAUAUCGAAAAAAUGGUUUGCGACCUCGAUGUUGAAUUAAAGAUCCUUGAUGGCGUAGGGGC